AUCUCUGCGCAGUGACAGUAUCGUAGCCUAUGAGGUUUAUCCGAGGCGUGAUUAUUGCUAGUUGAAAACUUUACCCAAUACCCCGCCUAGACGACUUGAAAUAUAGUCGGCGACGGCAAUUUUUGACGGUCUCUANNNNNN
rnacentral:snRNA from 14 species